CUCCUCUCAGAGUCACAUCUGGAGAGUUUCCAGUACUCUAUCAGUCUUGACUACAGGAGGGAGAGUCAGGCAGAGGCAUACCCAUUCCAAUUCUAGUUUGGGCAGUGGCUAGUGAGUGGAAGGCAAUCUGCUACAAGU